UAACAGGAAUUCCCCUAGUAACUGCGAGUGAAGCGGGAUGAGCUCAAAUUUUGAAUCUGGCGGUCUUCCGGCCGUCCGAGUUGUAAUCUAGAGAAGCGUUGUCCGCGCUGGCCCGUGUACAAGUCUCCUGGAAAGGAGCGUCAUAGAGGGUGAGAAUCCCGUCUUUGACACGGACUACCAGUGCUGUGUGACGCGCUCUCGACGAGUCGAGUUGUUUGGGAAUGCAGCNNNGGAAAGAUGAAAAGAACUUUGGAAAGAGAGUUAAACCGUACGUGAAAUUGCUGAAAGGGAAACGCUUGAUGUCAGUCGCGUCUGCCAGGGAUCAACCUUGCUUCUCGCUGGGUGUACUUCCUGGUCGACGGGUCAGCGUCGGUUUCGGUCGCCGUACAAAGCGAGGGGAACGUGGCACUCUCCGGAGUGUGUUAUAGCCCUUCGUCGCAUGCGGUGGUCGGGACUGAGGAACUCGGCACGGCUUCGGUCUGUGCUUAGGAUGCUGGCAUAAUGGCCUUAAGCGACCCGUCUUGAAACACGGACCAAGGAGUCUAACAUGCCUGCGAGUGUUUGGGUGGCAAACUCGAGCGCGAAAUGAAAGUGAAAGUCGAGACCUCUGUCGUGGAGGGCAUCGACGCCCGGACCCGAGUCUUCGACGAAGGAUCUGCGGUAGAGCAUGCAUGUUGGGACCCGAAAGAUGGUGAACUAUGCCUGAAUAGGGUGAAGCCAGAGGAAACUCUGGUGGAGGCUCGUAGCGAUUCUGACGUGCAAAUCGAUCGUCGAAUUUGG
rnacentral:rRNA from 2 species